UACAGAGGGUGCUAGCGUUGUUCGGAAUCACUGGGCGUAAAGGGCGCGUAGGCGGAUCUUUAAGUCGGGGGUGAAAGCCCAGGGCUCAACCCUGGAAUUGCCUUCGAUACUGAAGAUCUUGAGUCCGGGAGAGGUGAGUGGAACUGCGAGUGUAGAGGUGAAAUUCGUAGAUAUUCGCAAGAACACCAGUGGCGAAGGCGGCUCACUGGCCCGGUACUGACGCUGAGACGCGAAAGCGUGGGGAGCGAACAGG
rnacentral:rRNA from 1 species